UUAAGUAUAAGUGAAUUGGACUUUUUUUUUUUUAACCGCUUAGAAGUUUCUUUAAUGAAACUGAAUUACAGUUUGGUUAUCUGUUGGUAUUGGAUACAAUAUUGGCUCCAGAACUGCUUUCUAUUGUUAUUCCGGUAAAUAAUGGAUCUGAAUUUCGCAGAAGAUCUGGAAUAUAAAGUGACAUUUGCACCUUUAUGGACAACCUUCCUUUAUCUGAUGGAAUGUGCGCAUGUUGGAAGAAAGUCGUAGCAAGUGACGUAGGUUGCUUAGUUAAAAACCAAUGCUAGUUCCUCGAUGACUCGACAGACCACCAUCACACCCUGUUAGAUCGUUUAAGGAUGACAGAUGAAUCUUUUAGGUAUUCCCUUCUGUCGCACUGGAUUUCGCUGGAUAAUUGUGGUUCCUUAGCUGCUCGAAGACUUCUUCUGCAGAAUAUUCAUGUCUGUUAAGAACAAGCUUUCAUCGAAGUGAGCAUGGCACAACAAAUAACGUCUGGACCCUGCCUCAAACCUAUAUUGGAAUGCUAAUGCUGGCAAUUGAAUUAUGGAAGAUUACUCAAUAUAUUUAAUUCAGCUUGUAAACUGUAGAAGUUGAAGACCUUGAAUAUUAAGGUUAACAUGAGCAAUGUACACAGUAGAAAUUUAAAUUUCCUCUUGUCUGCAUUAUUUUUGGAAGUAAAUGUAUAUAUUUGAAAUGUUUGUUAUUUCAAAGAUAUUUUUGUGGCAAACGAUUUGAUAGGUCCUUUUUAAGGAUUACAGAAUAUUUACGUUUUUUGGAAUAUGCAAAAAAUCCUCUGUUUCAAACCUGACAAGUUUGAUAUGUUUUCUUAUCGCCCUUGCAUGGAAUUCAAAACACGGGUAUUUGUUGUGUCUGUAAAUGUUUAAUUUCCAAAUGGUUCUUCGCAACUUUUUAUCCGGAUAAUUCUGAUUAUAACUGAAGCAAUAAACUAUUGAUGCUUAUUGAGUUCUUUGAUACGCAAUGCUAUGCACUUUUACUUACAUAAACGAUGUUUUAGAAUAAAAUCUAGAUUGAAAAAAAAUAUUUUAGAUCUAUUCACCUUUUUUGUCUGUAGUUUUGAUUAACUUUCCUAGAAUUGAGAAUUCCUGUUUUUGACUUCAAUAUGGAUAGAAUCCAUAUUGAUCCCUCUUUAUCUCUUGGAUUGUAUUUCUUAUGUUCACACGUAAAUCGUGAACAGAACUAAUCGACUCGGAGGGAAGGAAACAGAUAUUGUAAAUCUACUUAAAAAAAUUUGAAACAAAAUAGCUACUCCAAACAUUUACUAAACAAUUUUAUUAAUAAACUUGUAACUUUUCAUUUUAAUCUUGUACUGAAGCUUUUUCUGACCUUGUAUAUUUCUAGAGUUUAAUUUGGCGAUUUUUAAAUGACGAUUAUCAGAAAAAUUGCUCAUUUUUAAAAAUCAAGUGUUUA